GGGUUGUGAGGUUAAGCGACUAAGCGUACACGGUGGAUGCCCUGGCAGUCAGAGGCGAUGAAGGACGUGCUAAUCUGCGAUAAGCGUCGGUAAGGUGAUAUGAACCGUUAUAACCGGCGAUUUCCGAAUGGGGAAACCCAGUGUGUUUCGACACACUAUCAUUAACUGAAUCCAUAGGUUAAUGAGGCGAACCGGGGGAACUGAAACAUCUAAGUACCCCGAGGAAAAGAAAUCAACCGAGAUUCCCCCAGUAGCGGCGAGCGAACGGGGAGCAGCCCAGAGCCUGAAUCAGUGUGUGUGUUAGUGGAAGCGUCUGGAAAGGCGCGCGAUACAGGGUGACAGCCCCGUACACAAAAAUGCACAUACUGUGAGCUCGAUGAGUAGGGCGGGACACGUGGUAUCCUGUCUGAAUAUGGGGGGACCAUCCUCCAAGGCUAAAUACUCCUGACUGACCGAUAGUGAACCAGUACCGUGAGGGAAAGGCGAAAAGAACCCCGGCGAGGGGAGUGAAAAAGAACCUGAAACCGUGUACGUACAAGCAGUGGGAGCACGCUUAGGCGUGUGACUGCGUACCUUUUGUAUAAUGGGUCAGCGACUUAUAUUCUGUAGCAAGGUUAACCGAAUAGGGGAGCCGAAGGGAAACCGAGUCUUAACUGGGCGUUAAGUUGCAGGGUAUAGACCCGAAACCCGGUGAUCUAGCCAUGGGCAGGUUGAAGGUUGGGUAACACUAACUGGAGGACCGAACCGACUAAUGUUGAAAAAUUAGCGGAUGACUUGUGGCUGGGGGUGAAAGGCCAAUCAAACCGGGAGAUAGCUGGUUCUCCCCGAAAGCUAUUUAGGUAGCGCCUCGUGAAUUCAUCUCCGGGGGUAGAGCACUGUUUCGGCAAGGGGGUCAUCCCGACUUACCAACCCGAUGCAAACUGCGAAUACCGGAGAAUGUUAUCACGGGAGACACACGGCGGGUGCUAACGUCCGUCGUGAAGAGGGAAACAACCCAGACCGCCAGCUAAGGUCCCAAAGUCAUGGUUAAGUGGGAAACGAUGUGGGAAGGCCCAGACAGCCAGGAUGUUGGCUUAGAAGCAGCCAUCAUUUAAAGAAAGCGUAAUAGCUCACUGGUCGAGUCGGCCUGCGCGGAAGAUGUAACGGGGCUAAACCAUGCACCGAAGCUGCGGCAGCGACGCUUAUGCGUUGUUGGGUAGGGGAGCGUUCUGUAAGCCUGCGAAGGUGUGCUGUGAGGCAUGCUGGAGGUAUCAGAAGUGCGAAUGCUGACAUAAGUAACGAUAAAGCGGGUGAAAAGCCCGCUCGCCGGAAGACCAAGGGUUCCUGUCCAACGUUAAUCGGGGCAGGGUGAGUCGACCCCUAAGGCGAGGCCGAAAGGCGUAGUCGAUGGGAAACAGGUUAAUAUUCCUGUACUUGGUGUUACUGCGAAGGGGGGACGGAGAAGGCUAUGUUGGCCGGGCGACGGUUGUCCCGGUUUAAGCGUGUAGGCUGGUUUUCCAGGCAAAUCCGGAAAAUCAAGGCUGAGGCGUGAUGACGAGGCACUACGGUGCUGAAGCAACAAAUGCCCUGCUUCCAGGAAAAGCCUCUAAGCAUCAGGUAACAUCAAAUCGUACCCCAAACCGACACAGGUGGUCAGGUAGAGAAUACCAAGGCGCUUGAGAGAACUCGGGUGAAGGAACUAGGCAAAAUGGUGCCGUAACUUCGGGAGAAGGCACGCUGAUAUGUAGGUGAAGUCCCUCGCGGAUGGAGCUGAAAUCAGUCGAAGAUACCAGCUGGCUGCAACUGUUUAUUAAAAACACAGCACUGUGCAAACACGAAAGUGGACGUAUACGGUGUGACGCCUGCCCGGUGCCGGAAGGUUAAUUGAUGGGGUUAGCGCAAGCGAAGCUCUUGAUCGAAGCCCCGGUAAACGGCGGCCGUAACUAUAACGGUCCUAAGGUAGCGAAAUUCCUUGUCGGGUAAGUUCCGACCUGCACGAAUGGCGUAAUGAUGGCCAGGCUGUCUCCACCCGAGACUCAGUGAAAUUGAACUCGCUGUGAAGAUGCAGUGUACCCGCGGCAAGACGGAAAGACCCCGUGAACCUUUACUAUAGCUUGACACUGAACAUUGAGCCUUGAUGUGUAGGAUAGGUGGGAGGCUUUGAAGUGUGGACGCCAGUCUGCAUGGAGCCGACCUUGAAAUACCACCCUUUAAUGUUUGAUGUUCUAACGUGGACCCGUAAUCCGGGUUGCGGACAGUGUCUGGUGGGUAGUUUGACUGGGGCGGUCUCCUCCUAAAGAGUAACGGAGGAGCACGAAGGUUGGCUAAUCCUGGUCGGACAUCAGGAGGUUAGUGCAAUGGCAUAAGCCAGCUUGACUGCGAGCGUGACGGCGCGAGCAGGUGCGAAAGCAGGUCAUAGUGAUCCGGUGGUUCUGAAUGGAAGGGCCAUCGCUCAACGGAUAAAAGGUACUCCGGGGAUAACAGGCUGAUACCGCCCAAGAGUUCAUAUCGACGGCGGUGUUUGGCACCUCGAUGUCGGCUCAUCACAUCCUGGGGCUGAAGUAGGUCCCAAGGGUAUGGCUGUUCGCCAUUUAAAGUGGUACGCGAGCUGGGUUUAGAACGUCGUGAGACAGUUCGGUCCCUAUCUGCCGUGGGCGCUGGAGAACUGAGGGGGGCUGCUCCUAGUACGAGAGGACCGGAGUGGACGCAUCACUGGUGUUCGGGUUGUCAUGCCAAUGGCACUGCCCGGUAGCUAAAUGCGGAAGAGAUAAGUGCUGAAAGCAUCUAAGCACGAAACUUGCCCCGAGAUGAGUUCUCCCUGACUCCUUGAGAGUCCUGAAGGAACGUUGAAGACGACGACGUUGAUAGGCCGGGUGUGUAAGCGCAGCGAUGCGUUGAGCUAACCGGUACUAAUGAACCGUGAGGCUUAACCUUACAACGCCGAAGCUGUU
rnacentral:rRNA from 1 species